rfam:Endocarpon pusillum Z07020 unplaced genomic scaffold scaffold481, whole genome shotgun sequence.
GACAACAUGGCCGAGUGGUUAAGGCGCAUGACUAGAAAUCAUGUGGGUUCGCCCGCACAGGUUCAAAUCCUGUUGUUGUCG